AUGAGACUGUGGCUGAGCCGCGCUUUCUUUCUAGGGGCCCUUCGAGGUAUCUGGUCACAGGUCUGGUUGGUGGAGUCCAGAGGGGGGAUUCAAACCCCUGGGGAAACUCUCCGCCUCUCCUGCAAAGCCUCCGGAUUCACCUUCAGCUACCACAUGAACUGGGUCCGUCAGGCGCCGGGGAAAGGACUGGAGUGGGUCGCACAGAUACUCAAUCCUACUUAUAGUUCAGCAACAUAUUACAGUGAUGCGGUUAAAGAGCGAUUCACUAUAUCCAGAGAUGAGUCCCGCAGCUCGGUGUAUCUGCAAAUGAACAGCCUGAAAGCCGAAGACACCACCCGGUAUUACUGUGCGAGAGACACAGCGAUCAGAAACCUCCUGCGGAUGUCCGGGGACUUGGCCGCCAGCACCGACUUGUGGGCUCAGAUCCGCCGGCCGGACACUUCGAUCACCAGGUCCGGCUCCUCCGAGACCAGCUGCUGCGGGCUCCAGGGCUGCGCUCCAGCCUGUGGACAGUAA